AUUGAACGCUAGCGGGAUGCUUUACACAUGCAAGUCGAACGGCAGCGCGGACUUCGGUCUGGCGGCGAGUGGCGAACGGGUGAGUAAUGUAUCGGAACGUGCCCAGUAGCGGGGGAUAACUACGCGAAAGCGUAGCUAAUACCGCAUACGCCCUACGGGGGAAAGCAGGGGAUCGUAAGACCUUGCACUAUUGGAGCGGCCGAUAUCGGAUUAGCUAGUUGGUGAGGUAACGGCUCACCAAGGCGACGAUCCGUAGCUGGUUUGAGAGGACGACCAGCCACACUGGGACUGAGACACGGCCCAGACUCCUACGGGAGGCAGCAGUGGGGAAUUUUGGACAAUGGGGGCAACCCUGAUCCAGCCAUCCCGCGUGUGCGAUGAAGGCCUUCGGGUGGUAAAGCACUUUUGGCAGGAAAGAAACGUCGCGGGCUAAUACCCCGUGGAACUGACGGUACCUGCAGAAUAAGCACCGGCUAACUACGUG
rnacentral:rRNA from 1 species